CUCGUCAUUUUAUGGACUACACUGCGGAAGCGCAGCGAUUAGAACACUGAGCAGAAGAUCGGAAGCGAUAAGAACGUUGGGUCUGUGAGGUUGAGAAGGUCUCCACAGUCUGGAGUCUGGUCUCUGAGAAGCUCAACAUACCUGUCAAUCAACAGGGACUCCUCUACAAAGGCAAGGCGCUGGCAGGUAGGCUGCACAGCACAGCACAGCACUCAGGAUUACGAGCAGAGCCUGCGCUUGUUGAGUCUGGAUGAUAUGGAGCAGCUGGCGACCCACAUGCUUCACCCUGAGGCUGUGGAGUGCAUGGAGCUGUCCCUCCUGGACUGAGGAAUACUGCUGCUGCCCGCUGCCUC